UAUUAUGAUAUAUUAUGAUACGAAGGAAGUAUGAUAUAUUCUGCAUAUUUUAUAUGAAUAUAAAGGAUGAAAUACGAGAAAAAGAUGCUCUUACAUCAUACUCCUAUUUAGCAUCCACGUUUUUUUCCCUCGGAGGGAGAGACGGAGUUCGCCAACACUUUCGUUGUCACUACACAAGCGCGACAGUUCCAUGGGGUUCCAGUAUUCCCUGCCAAGCACAAGAAUCCAUCCUAGAACUACACCCAUCAUCGGCCCCCCCUGCUUACGUGACCGCAACCAUCCACCCAUCCGUCCGACCGUCCAUCGACGCGACCGAUGCACCGGUAGGGAGGCCGGCCGGGGCG
rnacentral:lncRNA from 1 species